CAGGCUCUCAGGGGAAGGAACCAGAUAAAUCAUCAGCAAGGAAAACCUAUAGGUUUCCCCAAAGUACAAUUUGAAUAGAAAUGUCAAAUGCACCUGGAGUUAUUACACCCUGUAAUCCUAAUGACAUAUAAUCCUAUACACCAACAGGAUAAUAUCACGAGUGUGUGUGGCAACACUGCCGCAUGUUAAUCCUGCCUGCCUCCUGGGAUGAUCUUUCUCAUCCCAGCAGAGCCUACAGAGCCUCCUUUGUUCUUCCCAGAAGUGGCCUCAUCGGGCUGGACCUGGGGGAGGUGACCAAGGAAGUGAAAAUCAAAGAGCCCAAGGAAUGAAGCUGGCAUGGCGCUAGUCAGGGGAUGGACAGGUGUGGUUUGGUGCUUUCAUUUUUUGCCUAAUCUGGAUGCAUCCUAAGUCCCCUGGAAGUUGCCAGCCCCACAUCAGCAUCUGUGUUGAGGACCCUCUUCUCUCCCCGCCUACCCCCGCCCCUAACCCUUUCCUUCUCUCUCAUUCUUCCUUUCCUGUAUCCUUCCCUUUCUUCCCCAGCAUCUAUGCUCUGUUCUGCCAGGAGCACUCUCGGAGAUAUGGUUCGUCCUCUUGAGAGGGAAAGCCUCCUGGGACUCGCGUGCACCCGUCCUGUCCAGCUGCGCUCCUUAGUUGCGGGCCCUGGAGCCAGGGAAGGUGGGAGUGGACUUUCGCCUGAGGCAGCAGCUGCGUGGUUAGUGGUCUGUGGCCAGGGGGGCAUUUCAAGGUAGGGCACAGAACUUCCAGGCCAGUGCACCAGCCCAAAAUAGAGCCCUGGUUGGCUUUAUCUACCGUGUAGCCUGUGCUGGUCCCCAUGACAUAAGCUUCUUUUGCUGUGAGACAGGAAAUCUCUUUCUAGGCUCCUGGGGAGAUGAGAUUUUUCAGGUCAAAGUCUCAGAGUCAUUCACACAAUCCAGGAAUCUCUUCCCAAACUCCAUACUCCUAUGCUCGGCCCUCCAAGGCAGUGAUUCUCGAAGUAGGAACCACUUCAAGACCAGCAGCUCAGCACUACCAGGGAUCUUAUUAGAAAUGCAAAUUCUGCCAGGUGCGAUAGCUCACACCAGUAAUCCCAGCACUUCGGGAGGCCGAGGGGGCAGAUCACUUGAGGUCAGGAGUUUGAAACCAGCCUGGCCAACAUGGUGAAAUCCUGUCUCUACGAAAAGUACAAAAAUUAGCUGGGCAUGAUGGCGCAUACCUGGAGUCCCAGCUACUCAGGAGGCUGAGGCAGGAGAAUCGCUUCAACCCAGGAAGCGGAGGUUGCAGUGAGCUGAGGUUGCACCACUGCACUCCAGCCAGGACGACAGAGCAAGACUCCAUCUCAAAAACAAAAACAAAAAAAAAAAAAACAGAAAUGCAAAUUCUUAGAUCCCAGUGCCAAGGGUGGCUGGAGACAGUUUGUAACAUCUCAGGAGAACCAAUUGCACAUGUCUCUUUCCUAACUCCACAUUUAGUGACCAUCACACUGGGGGCUUGAAAUCAACCACGGUGAGAGUGUUUACACUGUGGAACAUUACAAAUCAGUGCUCAUUUUUCUUUCUGAAAGCCCAUUGUUAAACAGUUUCCAGCACACCACUGGACCCUACCCAGACCUACUGAACCAGAGCCCUGAAGGUGGAACCCCACAAUCUGUGUUUCAAUAAGCUUUCCAGGUGAUUCUGAUGCACAUUCAAGUUUGAGAAUCACUGUUCCCAUGGGCCAGCUCUAGUGGUAUCAUAAGAAAGAAAGGAAUGUGGGGGUGCCCAAGGAGUAGGAUUUCACAAGGAAACUUUGGAAAAGGUAAAGAAAGAAGAGAGAAAGUAAACUAGGCCCUGGGGCCUUCCUCCAGGCAAAGAGGCAACCAGGCACUUGGCAGGAAAUACCCCUGGACGGAGAUGAGACCUGCAGCCCCAGGGAAUGGAAGGAGGAAAGAGAAUCUGCUACUCAGGAGGCUGAAGUGGAAGGACUGCUUGAGACUGGGAAGUUGAGGCUGCAGUGAGCCAUGAUCACGCUGCUACACUCCAGCCUAGGCAACAAAGUGAGACCCUGUCAAAAAAAAAAAGGAAAAGAGGAAAGAAGAAAUAGAGAAAGAGAGAAGAAAGGAGAAAGAAAGAAAGAAAGUAAGAAAGAAAGAAAAAAGGAAGAAAAAGAGGAAGAAAGGAAGAAAAAAAGAAAAAAGGAAGAAAAAGAAGAAGAAAGGAAGAAAAAAAGAAAGAAAGAAAGAAAAAAGAAAGAAGGAAGGAAGGAAGAGAGAGAGAGAAAGAAAGAAAAAACCUUACAGACACAGUUGAAGUCUUUGUGCCCCUUUUCCUUCCUCCAACUGUCCUGAAGUUGGGCCCAAAGCAGGAUGGAGAUAAAGAUGCCCAGAAGAAACCAAAGCCUUCUUGGGGGAAACUGUAAGAAGUCAGGAGGGAAUUCUUUAUUAGAAAUUGAAGAUCCCGCUGGGCGUGGUGGCUCAUGCCUGUAAUCCCAGCACUUUGGGAGGCCGAGGUGGACAGAUCACCUGAGGUAGAAGUUCGAGACCAGCCUGGCCAACAUAGCAAAACCCCAUCUCUACUAAAAAUACAAAAAUUAGCCGGGCGUGAUGGCACGCACCUGUAAUCCCAGCUACUCAGGAAGCUAAGGCAGGAGAAUCACUUGAACUUGGGAGGUGGAGGUUGUAGUGAGCCAAGAUGGCGCCAUUGCACUCCAGCCUAGGCAACAAGAGCGAGACUCCAUCUCAAAAAAAAAAAAGAAAAAGAAAAGAAAAGAAAAAAAAAGAAAGAAAGAAGUUGAAGAUCAAAGCUGGAGACCAGGACUCUUGACAAAUCUGACCAGAUUUGAAACACACCUAAGAAAUGUAAGACUCAAUUAAUUCUACAUGAGCCUAAGAAUUAAACCAAAUAAAGAAUGACAACACAAGUAAUGAGGAUACUGGCUUAUGCCUAGGUGUUUGUAUUUCUUUAGGUCUAACUCCAACUGUAUAUCCUAUUUUAAAUUAAUAUUUGUUAUUCUUUGUUUUUUGUUAUUUUAAUAAAAAGCUCUAUUUAAAUGUAUUUAAAUAACAUUAGCCAGAUGUGGUGGCUCAUGCCUGUAAUCCCAGCACUUUGGGAGGCUGAGGCAGGUGGAUUGCUUGAGCUCAGGAGUUUGAGGACAGCCUGGCCAACAUGAUGGAACCACGUCUCUACAAAAAUACAAAAAUUAGCCAGGCAUGGUGGCACACACCUGUAGUCUCAGCUACUUGGGAGGCUGAGGUGGGAAGACUGCUUGAGCCUGGGAGGUUCAGGCUACCAUGAGCCUUGAUCACACCACUGCUCUCAAGCCAAGGCAACAGAGUGAGACCCCAUCUCAAAACAAAACAAAAAGAGAACACUAAUGCCGUUAGAAAAGAAUGCUUUCAUUACUAACACCACUGGGGAGCCAAGCAAUUCAAACCCGCCUGACUCCAUGUGGCAGCUUAUUUCAAGUACAGGCAAGGAGACUCAAAGGAAAUAAACAGUGUGUGGGGGUUCUAGCGAUGCAAACCUAUAAGGUUCUUGUAACUAUCAUAAUGCUUGAUCAAUACUUAUUAACAAACCACAUUCUAGGAGGAACAAGUUUUAAAAGCCUGAAAAUUGGACAGCCAACGUCCU
rnacentral:lncRNA from 10 species